rnacentral:rRNA from 1 species
ACACAUGCAGUCGAACGGUAAGGCCUUUCGGGGUACACGAGUGGCGAACGGGUGAGUAACACGUGGGUGAUCUGCCCUGCACUUCGGGAUAAGCCUGGGAAACUGGGUCUAAUACCGGAUAUGACUACGAAUCGCAUGGUUUGUGGUGGAAAGCUUUUGCGGUGUGGGAUGGGCCCGCGGCCUAUCAGCUUGUUGGUGGGGUGAUGGCCUACCAAGGCGACGACGGGUAGCCGGCCUGAGAGGGUGUCCGGCCACACUGGGACUGAGAUACGGCCCAGACUCCUACGGGAGGCAGCAGUGGGGAAUAUUGCACAAUGGGCGCAAGCCUGAUGCAGCGACGCCGCGUGAGGGAUGACGGCCUUCGGGUUGUAAACCUCUUUCAGUAUCGACGAAGCGCAAGUGACGGUAGGUACAGAAGAAGGACCGGCCAACUACGUGCCAGCAGCCGCGGUAAUACGUAGGGUCCGAGCGUUGUCCGGAAUUACUGGGCGUAAAGAGCUCGUAGGUGGUUUGUCGCGUUGUUCGUGAAAACUCACAGCUCAACUGUGGGCGUGCGGGCGAUACGGGCAGACUGGAGUACUGCAGGGGAGACUGGAAUUCCUGGUGUAGCGGUGGAAUGCGCAGAUAUCAGGAGGAACACCGGUGGCGAAGGCGGGUCUCUGGGCAGUAACUGACGCUGAGGAGCGAAAGCGUGGGGAGCGAACAGGAUUAGAUACCCUGGUAGUCCACGCCGUANACGGUGGGUACUAGGUGUGGGUUUCCUUCCUUGGGAUCCGUGCCGUAGCUAACGCAUUAAGUACCCCGCCUGGGGAGUACGGCCGCCAGGCUAAAAACUCAAGAAAUUGACG